GUCGGCUACGGCGACAUGCACCCGAUAACCAUCGGCGGGAAAAUCGUCGGAUCGCUCUGCGCCAUCGCCGGCGUGCUGACCAUCGCCUUGCCCGUCCCCGUCAUCGUGUCCAAC
rfam:Salmo salar isolate Sally breed double haploid chromosome ssa15, whole genome shotgun sequence.